rnacentral:misc_RNA from 1 species
AACUUUUGGCAAUGGAUCACUUGGCUCUCGCAUCGAUGAAGAACGCAGCGAAAUGCGAUACGUAAUGUGAAUUGCAGAAUUCAGUGAAUCGUCGAAUCUUUGAACGCACCUUGCGCCCCUUGGAAUUCCGAGGGGCACACCCGUUUGAGUGUCGUGAACAUCCUUCAACCUUUCUUGGUUUCUUAACCGGGGAAGGCUUGGACUUUGGGGGUCUUUCAUUGCUGGCCUCUUUGAAGCCAGCUCCUCCUAAAUGGAUUAGUGUGGUCUGCUUUGCCGAUCCUUGACGUGAUAAGAUGUUUCUACGUCUUGGGUUUCGCACUGUCGCUUUAGACCCCGCUUCUAACCGUCUUGCAUUCAAGACAGAGUUUUAAACCUUGACCUCAAAUCGGGUGAGACUACCCGCUGAACUUAAGCAUAUCAAUAAGCGGAGGCU